rnacentral:ncRNA from 1 species
CAUCGUGAGGUGGAGUCUGAAGGAAGCCGGAUUGAAGGAUGAAAAGUUCCCAAUGGGCAAAACCUCGGUCUGACGAACAGAAACUACAUAUAAGGCAUACUUGAAACGGACGAGUUUCCCAAUCAAAACGAAGUCCAAUACUGCCCGAAAUUUCAAGGUGUAAAUGUAGCAGAUAUACGAGGCGAAGGUG